UCCAUCCGUCCACCCGCUAGAGUAACUGCCCUUUAUCAAAGGGAAGCUACUCUAACCGUUACAUGUUGUUUAGAGAGUGGUUUUGCUGUCACAACGUAACGAAUGACAAGGUGAGAUGGACACACAGCGUGAAAAUAAAACAAGAUGGACAAAUGACAUGGUCAGGUUCCAGCAUUGCCCCUCGAUUUGGAUUUAAAACGAGCAGACAAACAUAGGUAUUCACGGAUAUGGCAAAAUGUUUCAAAUGGAAGAAGAAAAAACAUUCAGGCUGUUUUAACCAUACUGAAUAUUUACACGAAUUCCACACUCUCAUAAAGGCAGGAAACAUUAACACUGCUUUAGCCUUGAUGAAGUCUUCCAAAAUCACUCCGAAGAAUUACUAUAAAAAGUAUCGCGGGAAGAUACGUGCUGUAGGGUGUGCUGUCAAAAGUGGUGAUUUAGAUGUCGUGGAAAGGUUGCUUUCUUUGGGCUUCAAAGUUGACGACAAUUGCAAUACCAGGUAUGGUGGCUUGUUCCCCCUUUACAUAGCAGUGCAAGAAAAGAACGUGGAUAUGGUGGAGCUGUUAUGUACUCAUGGUGCACACCUAGAUGCAGGCUGUUUCCUUGAUGACAAAGAUCCACUUGCCUUGGCCAUUCGAGAAAACUGUGCCGACAUUGUCCGCUACAUGUUGAUAGAACUCAAUAUCCAACUAAUCCAUACUGAGGGAUUUGCUUCAUUCAAACCUCUUGGGAAUAAUCCUGAUAAAAUUGACGUCGAAAGACGGAACAAUACGGUUCGUAUUCUGGUCAGCGCUGGCUAUGACCCACUGGAGGAAGUGGUUACAACUGAAGGUCCACAACAAACCCAAGUCAAAAGGUAUGUUAAUUUGAACCCUCGAGCUGGUGAACCUCGGAGUCUACUGGACCUCUGCUGUAUAAAUAUUCGUCGUAGAUUGGGAAUGAGGCUAUGCACAACUGUCGACGGUCUUCCUCUGCCAGAAUCAGUAAAGGACAAACUUAAACUCAAUCACAUCUUGACGUUUCCAUUCAGUGAAACAAGUGCUGAUUAAGUGUUACCUUUGUCCAUUGGAAUGGACUUUAUGUACCAUAUACCUCAAAGGCGUGACAAAUAGCAGUCCUAGAAAGUUUGAUUCAAAUAGCUUCCAAUCGGUGUCACAUGGAUUUAAACUUCUUUUUUGUUUCAAAGACUAGACUUUAGGAUGAUUUUGAAAGAAUGUGUUGAAAUCAAUAACCCAGCCCUGUAUUCAUUGAAACUACAGCUCCUGAGUUUCCAUUAAAAGAUGUCGUUACAAAACCAAACGUGUUAGUCUGAUAAAUAAAACAGAUAUGAGUACCCUAACAGCGUGCCACCAGUGGUCCAAUCGUCCAAGGCGCCACAAUUCGAUGAGCAAAGUUGCAAAAAUCUAUGCGGAUUGUGGGUUCGCCCUUCAGUAUGUAUAAAGAUAAUAUACCACACCCAUGUCAUACCCUGUACCUGUUCUAUUGGCUUGGGGAGAUAAUGCCACGCCCAAUAUUUAUCCCACCCUGCACGUGCCCUAUUGCAUGUGUGAAGUUAGUAUUAUAUACCACACAAAAUCUUUGUUUUGGACAGUACAUGAUGUCAUACAGGUACAGUAAACUACGUUUGUAACGAACACGCAUAUAACGAACUGAAUGUAUAUCCACACAAACUUGUGCAAAUUGUUUUGCUGUGACCAGUCAGUAAAAUAAACAGUGGCCUGAGA